GGGAAAUUCCUUUGCUUAAACAUUAAAACCCAACCUCAAGAGGGCUGGGCAAAAGAUGAAAAGCUCCCCAAGGCAGUACUUCUCCUCCUCUUUUUCAGGCUAAUUUCCAUUUAAAUGUCUGCAAAGGCAGCCUCCUGCUGCUGCUUAUUUUGUGGCUGGUGGGAGGUCUCUUUCUCCCUGCUUCUUCAGGAUGGGGCAUUUCAGCAACUAGACACCAGAAAGCCACUUUCUGGCUUUCCUCUCCUGAUUAUGCUUGUGCUUCCAUUUGGGGGGAAUGCCUCUUACCUUGCAGCCUAAUAAUAGCAGCUGGCUAAGCCUGGACGAGUGGUUUUAGGUGGCACUGGGAGGAAAGCCUGAUGAGGAGAAGCAGAGAGAGGGAGGAUUCAGACUGUGGUCACCAGCCUGAUACAACCCCUUCUCCUAGGAGGGGCAGGAACCUUGGAGGGCUGGGUCACUCCUUGUAGGUGCCCCCCAACAAGAUGUUCCUGUAAGGUCUCUGAAUGACCCAAGAGCAGAGGUUUAGGUUAUGAGGAGAUUAGAUGAUGACCAGGAGUGACAAAGUUCUCCGAUGUCUGCUCUGCUAAUGGUUUGGGCUGUGCUUCUGCACUUGGGGAUUGAGCAGACCCUGGCCAGAGGAGGAAAGUCAUGGGAGCACUGCACAGGAUCUAUUUACACAGUAGUUGUUAACCAGUCUGGUGCUACAGCACACAACUGGGAGCGUGGGAAAUGCCAGCGACACAGAAAAGCACAUCUCUCAUGAGCUGUGCCAGUUCUCAAAGUGGAAUGUUUGCUUCAAGAUUUUGCAGGAGCAGCGUGGGCUGUAAAGCAAAUUCCAUUUGCCCACAUGAAUGCAUCAAAUCUUCAGCGUGAAGAUGGAUCCAGAAGCAUGCAGGACAUGAAAGAAUGGACAAGGGGCGGACAUUCCCAAAGAACUCGGCCCUAGAGAAAUAUAAAAAGCAAGACAACAAUUUGCAUAAGAGUGUAUAAAAGCAAUGGAAAUACAGGGUUGUAGUCAACUAAGUCCUACUCUGACCUGCUGAAAUAAAUGAA
rnacentral:lncRNA from 1 species